UAUACCGCAUUUAGUUCACCACUGGACUGCGCACUGAGUCUUCAUAAGUGCGAAAACGUAAAUAAAACUGCGCGAUUGCAUCAAAUCAAAUUGAUGUCUUCGACGCACUAAUUCUUCGAUGUAUGCUGAAUAAGUGCUCUGAAGACACCGAGUCGAUUGGAUGCAAUCGCGCACUUUUAUUUGCGUUUUCGCACUCUUGAAAACUAUUGCGAUAGUCCAGUGGUGAACUAAAUGCGCUAUAUAUAUUGUGUAUGCACUUCAGUGUUGGAUUCCGGAGUCGAUUUCACUUCACUUUCAAACAACCGUUUUCGCUUAGGGAUGUACGUAGGGUGCCGUUUUGAGCACCCCGUGAACCUAGUUCUGGCUGUGAAAAGUGAAACCAUAACAAAAACAAGCAGUCAGAAAUAUUAUUUUGUGGUCCUCCGGAAAGAAUUAGAAAUUAUCAUUGGAAGGCUUAAAGAAUGAGCGACACGAAAGAUGAUGAAUCAUCUGAUUCCAUCCAGAUUCCUGGAGGAGAAGAAAACUAUAUCGAAGAGGAGUAUUUGGAAUCUGACAACGAUGAAUUGGCAGCAGCUAUCGAUGAACCAGAACAGUUUCGGAACAUAAUCCGUCCCAUCUAUCAACGUUGAAGGCGAAGAUUUGCGAUCAUCCAUUCCGGGAGAAUGUUCCAAUUCCAGCAAAGAGCCAACUGAAAACGACGGAGGAGUUGAAGUAGGAGGAACAAGUGACAUUUUCCCUCAACAUGUCAGCCAAGAAGUACAGAAAGUAUCAAUUCCACAUAAUCGGCGCCUUUUAUGCUCGGUCGUUUCGAACGCAACAUUUAUCAGAUGCACUGUUCAAGCGGGAUAUUUAUGGACAUACGCUGCCGGAAUUGCAUAAGUGUAUUUGGAAGCAUUGCGCAAAUUUCGUUGUCCGUGAAGUAGUUGUUGACUGUUCCGAUGGUGAUAAAAUCGUGAGAUGGGCAUCUAAGCAGACUCCAGACGUUCGGAUAUCGGAAAAUACAUCCUUCUGAAGCAUGGCAAGACUAAAAAGGUGCACACUCUGGCUGAUUUGGGUGAAAAUACCAAGCUCCUGUCGAAGUGGCGCGGAAGUGAGGUGCAGGUCCACGUUUUCAAACAUUCUACUGCUGUGGCGUCGAAUACUCUAUGGGACAUGGUGAACAAAAAACUGCUACACCCCGAGUCAAAGGACAAAACAGGAGCACCAGCAACACAGGAAAUUUUUAGCUGUAUCGAGCAAUUGAAAAGUACACAUACGCACUACCCAAGUAACUUUUAUAUCCUUCAAAAGAAGAAUAUUAAAGAUGUUGACAAGUCCAAAGCUUAUGCAGUCUCAGCUGUGUGGUCCAAUGACCACCGUAUUUAUACUACAUUAGGUAGACAUAAUGAAUCAUACCUAGACAUUUAGGUAUUGUAAUGAAUAGUAUUUCAUUAUUGUAGGUAGAUAUCCUAUGCACAUAACCAUUUAGUAGACACUACAGUAACCACUAAGCACUAGCGUAAGCGGUCUAAAGGUCAUACAGCAGCUUUUUCGUGUCAAUAGGCUCAGUAGGAAAUUUUCAAAUGCUCUCAGGCAUUAUAAAUAGUAAGCACUGAAAUGAGCCGUAUAUUAGUAUAUGACGCUAUGCUAUAGUGCUUGUAAACCCAGUGUCUAUCAGCCGAAUAAGAAGCCUGACAGUGCUGUUAAAAGGCUUGGCGUGCAUGACGUUUACAUCAAUCAAAGCUGAUUUCAAGCAAAACAAAACUGAACCGAAGCAAAACAAUAAAAUCUCCUCGGAAAUUUCGUACGAUCGAUAGGGCGGUGGAAGCUUGUCGUCGGACACUUCAAGCAUUAAAUGGAAACAGAAAAUGUAUAGCUGCUUCCUCGAUUAUGAUAUAAAUGCAUCGGAUGUCUCGUCGGAUGUUUACCUGUGGAGUUUCAAUCGUUUUUCCUACAGACGAACACCAAAACUAAUCGAUGGGCCC